AGGAUAUUUUUUUAGAUUAUUAUUUCUGAUAUCAUAUUUGUAAAUUGUUUAUGAGGGGUUGUUAAAAGUUUGUGGACAAAAGGACGCACUUAUUAAAAAUUCAGAGUUAUCGUAAGUGAAAAAUAUAGGAGAUGUGUAACAAGAUUGUAUAUUUGAAGAUUUUAAUUUUAAUUAAUUUUUAUAAGUAUUGAUUUCAGAUACAUGUAUGACAUUGCAUGCUUGGUGGGGUGGGGGGGGGGGGCUACAGUUAGAUAAUAUUCUGGUCAGCACAUUCGAUAAACUACUUGGAAUUCAUUAAAUCACUUCUUUUUCUUUCAGUGGUCUUCAACUUUUAAUCUCCAAGAAGGAAAUGUAAUUAAAAGAUGAAUAAAGUAUCCCUAAGAAUACCAGAAGAAAGGCUAUGUGUUGAGAAAAACAGCCCUUCCUCAGUACCUCAGAACUAGAUGAUAGCCCUUAAUUGUUACUUUAUGCUCAAUAUGACACAGUAUAGAAGAUCUGAUCAUGAAGAAGUAACACCAUUGAUACACUUGCCAACUGCCAAAAUUACUUUCUGAUAGUAUGACGAGAUUAGAAGAUAUGGUGUAGUCAUGACACAAACUGCAAAUCAAAGAAUUAAUUGUCUUCCCCAGAGGAUGAACAGAGCACGAUGGCUUCACAUGGAUAACAUUUCCUUUCGAGUUUUGAAAUUAAUUUGUCAGAAUGUUAUGCAUCGUUAUCAACAGAAAAGAACUUCAUAGGUAGACCAAAGUUGACAUGGGAUGAGAUCCUAGAACAAGACCUAGAGUUUACAGGAUUGGAUAGGAUCAAUCCACUGGGUCGCCAAGUGUGGAAGUACAAACUUCAACCUCGACAGGACAGCCAGGCCUCACCCUUGCAAAAAGAUUAAUUUGGCCUGGAUAGUCAAAAUGAGUGAUGAUGAUUGAUAUCAAGGUCUGACACUGGAAGCUCAGUAAGGGUAGAUGCUGGCAAUGGAGCUGUUUAGCAAUAAAACAAACAAGUUUAACAUUAAACAUGUUUGUAUACUUUUUUGGCUCACCUGAGCCAAAGGCUCAAGUGAGCUUUUCUGAUCACCUUUGCCUGUCGUCUGUCUGUUUAUAAACUUUUCACAUUUUCAUUUUCUUCUCCAGAGUGAACCACUGGGCCAGUUUCAAUCAAACUUGGUAUGCAUCAUCAAUAGAUAAAGGGUAUUCAAGUUUGUUCAUAUAAAGGGUCAUGCACCCUUCAAAAAGGAAAUAAUCAUGGAAAUGCAAAAAUAGGGUGGGGUCAUUUAAAAAACCUUUUCAAGAACCACUGGACCAGGAAAGUUGAAUUCACACGAAAGGUUCCUGUUUUGUGCAAAUCAUGGUCUCUGGGGUUAGGGUGGGGUCACAAUAGAGAAUCAAAGUUUUACAUUCAUAUAUAGUGCAUAUUCAAGUUUGUAAAAAGCUCACAGGGGUAGGGUGGGGGUCACAUAGGGGAUUUAAGUUUUACAUGUGAAAUAUAUACAAGGAAAAUCUUUUAAAAUCUUCUCCUCAAAAACUAGAUGCAGAACCGUAGCUCUUUGAAAAGAGAGCUUCAGAUGAACCCCUUAUAAAAAAAACUUCAAUUUAUGGCAGAGAAAAAAAGUGCAUGUUUAAGUCCCUCUAUCACUGCAUUCCUGCAUCGCUGUCUCAUGAAUUUAAUAUUAAGUAAUUCCCAACAUAUUUUCCCACUAUACUUGUUUCCAAACAUACUUUCAAAUAUUUUCUAAACCCACAUAUAACCCCAAAACAGCUUCAAGUGAUUUCAAUUUCUUUGUUGAUGUAGCCAUGUUAAGUAGCCAGUCAAUUUGAACCCCAGUUCAUUUCCAUACUCAUACUCAUUUUGAAACAUAAUGUCUGUGUGAACUAAUAUCCUCACAAAUAUUUUUAGUGAAAUAUUUUGGAUGAAAUCAUCCCAGUUGGGUUAAAUACUUAUUAUUCAAAUACUGUAGGUUUGAAUAUUGAACUAAUCUCACAGCUUUCUUAAGUUUGGUCCCCAUCCCCACCAGUCUGUUUUUACGCUUAACUAUUGAAAUGGGGUGUAAGGGAUCAGACUAGGCUCCUCAACAAGAUGAAAGGUUUUAUCAUAAGAAAUUCAUAAUAUCACCUCUGGUUGGCGCGGGUUUGAAUCCUGCUCGCACCGGUAAUUGAGAAAGUUUCCCAGUUUACUCUCGGAAGGUCGGUGGUCUCUUCCCAGGUACAUUGUAUCUGGGUUCUCUCUUCCACCAAUAAAAACUGGGCACCACCAGAUAACUGAAAAAUUGUUGAGUGAGGCGGAAAACAGUUAAAACAAUCAAUCAUAUUAUGUUAUUUGACCUUGUGACCCUGAACUCUGAGUUUGACAUACUUUUAAGAAAGUAUAACGUAUUAAGUAUAUCCAGGACUAUUUUAGAUAGGGCUUUUAUGUUUUGUAUAUUGAUUACUUAUGGCAAGGUCUUUCAUAUCAUACCAAGACCUACGACUUUUUACCUUGGUCUUAUCCAGAACAGCAAUAUCAUGCUAGUCAUAUCUUUGUCUUAUAUGAUUUCAUUUUAGUAAUGUUGUGUUCUUUAGAGCUAGGUUUGGGUCACAUUAUUCAUGAGAAUAAAGAUUGAUAAAAUAGCAUUUAAAAAUCAAAACAGCAGGGCCAAGAUGACUCAGGUGAGCGAUGUGGCCCAUGGGCCUCUUGUUGAUUUUGAUAUUUCUACCUAUAUCAUUUGUAUGAGAAAUGGAACUCCUUUUUUUCUUUUACAAAUACAUGUAUUAUCAUAUGGAUCCAUCUUUGUUGAUUAUUUAAUCAAAGGACAUAUUCAAUGUAUUAAAUGUAAAUUUAUGGAUAUGUCUGUGGUUGAAUUACUUAUGUAUGUAUGUAUACAUUUUUUUCGCACAUGCAAUUACAUAUAUGAUGUAUAUAUAUUUACUAAUUGUACAUGUAAUAUCCCCUGUUAUAUAAUAAAAUAUAUGACUGAGAAUAAAA